GGAGAAAAUGCGUGUCCAGUACGAGCUGGUCCAGGGCAAAUGUCAGGAAAAAGUGCAGAUCUGCAAGAUGACCCUGUUGGAUAAGAACAUUUGCACAGUAGAAGAUGUUGAAGUUGUACAUUCCAACAUGCUUCAGAUGACUGAGAAACUAAAACACAGGUUUGAAGAAGAACUGGAGCACAUGGAUAGUGAUUUUAAGGAGAUGGCUAAAUGGCAUGAGCAGCAUUGUCAAGGCUUGUACAGCUGUGUUCAGGAGGCCAUGGGUCUGUGGGAUGUCCAUCUACUCAAACUAUCCCAGCAGGAAGAUGUACUGGAGGAAAAAGUAGAUAAAUACAGAUUGGAACAGGAUGACAUAAUACAGGUGAUGAAAGAUGAUCUGGAUACAAUUUUGGAAAAAAUGAAAAUGGCGACAUGUGAAGAAGAGAUGAAGGAAUAUUUGGAGGACGCCCUUUCUUCUCUAGAUCACAUUAGAACUAGGUAUGAAUUUUGUAUAAAAGUAAAGCAUAUUUUAACAUUGGUUGUACUACUUAGG
rnacentral:lncRNA from 1 species